ACCAUGCGAGAGGACGUUUGGGGAAAGAGCGGCUCGGUGGGGUCCCCUCUGAGCGGGUCCCCCUCGACCUUGCAGAGACCCGGCCGGGCUGCGCGGGGCUGGGAUUGCGCCGGGUUUCAAGGACACGGGAGAUGAUCGGGACUUUGGGAGCCAACAUCUGCCUGGCUGGUGACGUCAGCAGCCCCGUGUAAUCCUCUUGUACUGAAGGCAGAUGCCUUAUUUGUUUGGCUGGAGAGGCAUUAAUCCCUAAUUCUGGAGCAGCAAGCGAGGGGGAGAGAACGGACCGCUUCGUACCCCCGAAAGCAGCUCGCGGGGCUCUCCUCCUCUCUGCGCUCUGCGGCUCCGGCUGGGCGGAGGAGCAGCCAGCCUUCGGCAGGCGGUCGCACGCAGGAGCUGCGGUGCCGAGGGGUGCCAGAGCCGCCUGCUCGGCUUGCCCCCCGGAUGCCCGGGCAAAGCCGCCGAAAAGUCUCGGGGAAACCCAGCUCGCCGCCGGAGCCCAGCCGCAGCACACCCGCUUCGCCUUCUCUCCUCUCCUCUCUUCUCCUCUCCCUCUCCCGGGCCAGGCUCGGAGGCAGCAGUCGAGGUCAGCCCGCACGGGUCGUGGGGUCCAGCCCGGGUCGAGCCCGCAGGGCGAUGCGCGGUGCCCGGCCGCCCCCCAGCUCUUCCCCGGCGUGCCAUCGGCACCAAAACAGAAGGGUCCCCGUCCUGAGCGGUGAAAGACGGCAACAACCGUGAUCAUAAUAAUAAUAACAAUUACCUUAGGCUUUUUUUAAUUAUUAUUUUUUUAUUGUAAUGACUUCACCCCUCAUUUCAUCGCUCGCACUGUUCAGCGUAGGCAGGCCAGAUGGGCUGCCCAGACCCUCCCGGGAAAGGGGCAGGUGCGAGUGAGUUGAUUUUUUUUUUUUUUCGCUUUACAAAGAAAGAUGACAUGUCCCGUCCUUUCAUUUUUCACCGCCGACACCCGGCCGAGGGGAGCGGAGAUGCUCCGGGGGUGCGGAUCCCACGGCCCGGGCUCCAGCCGAGCCGCAGGAGCAGGGACUACGGUCCCUCCCGGGCAGGGAUGCCAAACCAGAGACGUCGAGACGGGGAGAGCCAACUCCUGCGUUUCAAAUCACGCGAAGACGCUGGCGAAAUUAAAGCAGUCGCCUGGAAGUGCGUUAUAAGCGCACGCUUAAUUUCUAUGUUUUUUUUGUUUUUUUUUUUUUUUUAAGCCAUUAAGUACAUAUGUAACAGCUUUCCGGGCUUUGCAAACAACAGAUGGGCCAGUAGAAAAAUUCGAGCAUGAAUUACGUCCAGCCCAGGCCAGGAUGGGACUAGGGCGGAGGGGAAUUAUACAUAUAUUUUUUUCUAUAUAUAUAUUUUUUUUCGGGGAUCGGUUGCUGUUCUGUUUCCAGAGAGAGCGAGCGGGAACGCUCCAAGGCUCUGACUCUCCGUGUUCACAGCGGACCUUGAUUUAAUGUCAUACAAUUAAGGCACGCGGUGAAUGCCAAGAGCGGAUCCUCCAGGCGGCAUUAAAGCUCUCGCCCGAACAUAGCAUAGCACCACGAAUAAAAAGAGUAGCGCUAAGUGACACAUCAGAAAGGAGAGAAAAAAAGCAAUGAAGGGCUCGACGUUCUGUACUCACCUACGGAAAGCGCCACCGAAUAGGACUCGAGGCUGGGACGGCUGAGCCCCGUGGAGAGGAGGGGACCGCUGCCAGGGGAUGGCAGCUGUCAGCAGCAGGUAACGGGGACGUGGGGCGGUGCGGGAGCCGUGCGGUGGCAGCGGUGUCUUUCGAGGUGGCGGUGCCUCGACCUCUCGCUUUCCUGGGCUUAAAAUCAUGUAAAGUCGACGACUGGGAAAUAAAUACAUUUUCUGCUAUGAUCA